CACGCAGGACUGAGCAGAGGAGAGAAUAAAUCCCCAGCUGGCAUGAGAGCGGUGGUCCUCAUCUCUGUCAACGUCACACAACGCAGAUCUCAAGUGUCGGACCAAACCAGCUACAUCAGAGAGAAAACAACUUUGGAUGACGUAAUGAAGACAACCUGGCAGACUGCUACUAUCACCACUAAAGGAGGACAAGUCCUGUCCUGUGGCUGCGGCAUUCUUCCUGCGUCCAGUCUGGGCUUUUAUUUAUUUUUCUUUCAAAGAGCCAAGCGGAGCCAAGCAUGAAAGUGACUUCCUCGAUCAUCUCUACAGCCUCCAGCGUUCAGCUCAAUCCCUCCAUCGCCAUGAUGGACUUCAGGGUCACGACUCACUUCCUCCUGGAGACUCACGGUUACUAAGAGGAGUCUUAAGAUGGAAGAUGCAGUGAACCCAGCCGCCGCAGAGUGAAGCACCACGACCACCUCUAAACAUCGAGGAGCGAUGAGCUGCGGGCCAAGAAAGGAAGCCAAAAAUAUCCCAGAUACGGAUGCUGCCAUCUUCUGCUGAUGACGUCAUGUGGAGCCGGUGCAGUAGCCACCAUGGUGUGGAGCAGCGGUACUGACGUCCUGCCGACACACACGCUCG